rnacentral:rRNA from 1 species
ACGGAGGGUGCAAGCAUUAAUCGGAAUUAUUGGGCGUAAAGGGCGCGUAGGCGGAUAUAUAAGUCAGAUGUGAAAUUCCGGGACUCAAUUUCGGAGCUGCAUUUGAAACUAUAAAUCUCGAGGAUUGGCGGAGAGAACGGAAUUCCACGUGUAGCGGUGAAAUGCGUAGAUAUGUGGAAGAACACCGGUGGCGAAAGCGGUUCUCUAGCUAAUUCCUGACGCUGAGGCGCGAGAGCAAGGGGAUCAAACAGG